GAGCUGUCAGCACAGAGCCGACAUAGGGCUCGAACUCACAGAGUGCAAUAUCAUGACUUGAGCCGAAGUCUGAGUCUUAACUGACUGAGUCACCCAGGCAGGCGCCCCUCAGUCACUUAAAUUGUACAUAAGUCCAAUAAAUUUGGCAGUUUACUCUUUUUGUUUUAAAUAAAGAAAACCUUAUUUUCAAAAGUAAAACCGGGGGAAAAAUCACCCAUGACACUAUUAGGUAAAGAUAACCAUUGCUAACUUUAUAAAAAACAACUUUGUUGAGGUAUAAUUUACAUACAACAAAAUCUACCUUUUUUUUAAAGUUAAUUUAUUUAAUAUCUAUACCCAAUGUGGGGCCUGAACUCAGGACCCUGAGAUCAAGAGUUGAAUGCUCUUCCUACUAAGCUAGUAGCCACUUGCCCCCAAAUUUGCCCAUUUUAAAUGUAAUGAUUUUUACUUAAGUUCAUUGAGUUGUACAGGCAUAACCAUAAUCCAGUUUGAGGACAUUUCUGUUACCCCAGUAAGAUCCCUAGUGCCUAUUUACAGUUAAUCCUUGGUGCCACCCCCAGCUCUAGGUAUCUACUGAUCUACUUUCUGUGUCCAGAUUUGCCUUUUCUGUGUAUUUCUUAUAAGUAUAAUCAUACAUAUAUGGUCUUUUGUGUCUGGUUUCUUUCAGUCAGCAUAAUGUUUUUGAGGUUCAUUCAUGUUGUAGCAAGUAUCAGUAUUUAAUUUCUUUUUAUUACUGAAUAGUAUUCCAGAAUGUGGAUGUACCACAUUUGGUUAUUCACCAGUUGAUGGACAUUUGGGUUGAAUGAAUAAUGCUACUGGAAUAUUUACAUGUAACUCUUUAUGUGGACGUAAAUUUUUAUUUUGUAUAGUUACUACCAAGGUGGAAUUGCUGGGUCAUAUGAUAAAUCUGUGUUUAAAUUUUUAAGAAACUAAGUUGUUUUCCAAAGUGGCUGCACCCUUUUACAUCCCAUCAGCAAUGUAGGAGGGUUUCUUAUAUCCUUGCCAGCCAAAAUUAUUACUUUUUUAUUUUAGCCAUCUUAGUUGAUACGAAGUGUUAUUUCUUUGAGACACUAUUAACUUUUUGAGGUGUUCUUUCCAGACUUUAUUCUAAAAUUUUUUUAAUGUUUAUUUUUGAGAGAGAGAGAGUGACAAAAAGCAAGUGGGGGAAGGGCAGAGAGAGAGGUAGACACAGAUUCUGAAGUAGGUUCUAGGCUCUGAGCUGUCAGCACAGAGCCCUGUGUUGGGCUUCAACUCACGGACCGCGAGAUCCUGACCUGAGCUAAAAGUUGGAUGCUUAACUGGCUGAGCCACCCAGGUGCCCCUCCAGACUUUAUUGUGAACACACACACACACACAGAUGUAUUCAAAAAUUGAGCUACUUAAUUUCUAAGGCAGCAGUAAUUGUUUACUGUACGCCAAGUUGUGUGCCUAUGGCUUUAUUGGCUUUAUCUCAAUUUGUCCUCCAAACAACCAUAUGUGCUUAGGUGCUAUUAUUAUCUGCAUUUUACAGAUGAAGAAACUGAGGUUUUUUAGAGCUUGUGUUUGGUAGAAUUUAUAGAUGAGUUCUUCUUUUUGGCCUAUUGUGGCCCACCUAACCUGCACCCUUACCCACAAAACUUUGUUUACAGUUAACAAAUUACAAAAAGGGAAAGAAUGGCCUCCUUGGAAACAGUCACCGUUAAGAAAAGAGAAAGGGCAAAAUACAUAACAAACAACUAACAGCAGUACAGAAAAAUAUUGUUCUCUACAUUUCAGUGAAUCUCAAAAGUAUUUAUCUACUAUGUGUUAAUAAUGGCAUCUCUGAGUCCAUCUGUCCAUCAUACAAGAGACCAUUUUAUCCUGUGUUCUGCUUAAGAAGUCAGCCAGAAUCAUGUGUAUUUGUGAAUCUAAGAUUUUAAACAACAUUGUAAAGUAAGAUUUUAAUAAUUUAAGCCAUUUGGAAAAUUUAACUGUCCUGCGACACUCCCAAGGAUUCUGGUGAUAUUUUAUUAUACGUGAGUUCCUCAUCUUUUAAAAAUAUUCUUACUUUUUAUCUUAGUGUUUAAAAAAUUUUUUUUUUUAACGUUUAUUUAUUUUUGGGACAGAGAGAGACAGAGCAUGAACGGGGGAGGGGCAGAGAGAGAGGGAGACACAGAAUCGGAAACAGGCUCCAGGCUCUGAGCCAUCAGUCCAGAGCCCGACGCGGGGCUCGAACUCACGGACCGCGAGAUCGUGACCUGGCUGAAGUCGGACGCCCAACCGACUGCGCCACCCAGGCGCCCCUAUCUUAGUGUUUUAUAGCAUCUUCAAAUCAUUUUCUUAAAUUGUUUUUAACGUUUAUUCAUUUUAGAGAGAGAGACAGAGCGUGCGUGGGGGAGGAGCAGAGAGAGAGGGAGACACAGAAUCUGAAGCAGGCUCCAAGCUCUGAGCUGUCAGCCCAGAGCCUGAUGCAGCCCUUGAACUCACAGACCGCGAGGUCAUGACCUGAGCUGAAGUCAGAUGCUCAACCGCCUGAGCCACCCAGGCGCCCCUCAAAUCAUUUUAAGAACUCAAGUAAAAACAAAAUCUUAUUAAAAUGUCAUAGGAAAUAAGCCUUUGUCACCUAAAAAUAACUGCUUGUAUAUCUCAGUGGCUUUCAUAAGAAUAUAAUUAUAAUUAUUGUGUAAUUGUCAUAAUUUUCAGUUGUAUAGUCUCUCUUCAUUAUUUCAUAGGCUUUUUUUUUUUUUCUUUAAAGUGUAUUUAUUUUCAGAGAGACAGAGUGAGCAGGGGAGGGCCAAAGAGAGAAAAUUCCAAGCAGGCUCUACACUGUGAGUGCAGAGCCUGAUGUGGGGCUUGAACUCAGGAACUGUGAGAUCACGACCUGAGCCAAAACCAAGAGCCAGAUGCUUAAGUGACUGAGCCACCCACAUGUCCCCAUAUGCAUUUUCUGAAUAUGUAUUUUGUCUUCCUACGAAGUAUUUUAAUAAUGCAUCCUGUUUUAAAGUGUUUUUUGAGUUUGGGGACAUUUACAUUUAAAUUUUGCUUCACAGACUUUUAUACAUAUUUUUUAUUUAUCCCAGCACAAUUCAUUGAGUAUUGUAUGUGCAGAAUUAUCUACAAUAAAUGCUGAUAUUGAGCUUGCUGAAUUAGAGUAUGGUCAUUUAUGGCUCUUACACUCUGUUCUGGGUGCAAGUAUAUAGCUGACUAUUGAGGAAAACAAGACAAGAGUAUUCAUUCUCUUUAGAUUUAUUGGUUUUGACCUAUUUUUAUGCAACUAUUCCUUUUCAUCUUUGCAAUUUUUUUCUGUUCUAAAAAUAGAAAACAAAGACCUCCCCUUUACCAUCCAGAUAUGUAUACGUUUGUUUUCUAUAGAUUUUGACUUUUAUGGUACUUAUUUUCUUGAAUUUAUUAGGGUAUAAUCUGAAGUAUUUAUGUAAUAAGUUUAUUUUCUCCCUUUGAAUUGAUAGUCAGGUGGUAAAAAAACAAUUAUUAAGUUAAAAAGCAUUUUAUUACUUCUUAUACCAUUGAUGAUUCUCAAUUUUUUGUAGCAUAGUGCCUAACAUGGUAUCUGAUAGGAUCGAUUAGUCCUCAUUGCCUCUUAUUUAUUUUUUUAUAAUGGUGUUUGAGUUUUUUCCCAAAUUUUAAGAUUUUAUUUUUUGCUCUUUAAUGCUUACUCUCAGCAUCUUAAUAACAUAAUGCAUAGUCAGCAUUUCUAUCUUUUAUUUUUAUGUAUAAGAUAAAAAAUGUUAUAGUUGGAAAGAAAUUGGUUAUUUUGUUUAUUUUUUUGGAUUCUCUUACUUUAUUCCUUAAGUUUUAAUUCUUACAUGGUAAUUGAGAAUGUGUUUAGUGCAUUUACAAGCCAAAGCUAAUGCAUAAUUUCUGUAUGCUUAUAUCUUUAAAAAUUAAAAUGGAACAACAUGCAUCUUCUAAUAAUGAAUAGAAAUAAAAUGUAGUAUCUUUGAUACCAGUUAAUAAUUAAAUUAACAAUUAAUACUUAAUAAUUGAGCUUUUAAAAUACCAGUGUCCAAAAUAGGUAUUUUAUUAUGAUUAGAGGACAGAAGUUUAAUAAAUAGUGAAUACUAUCUCCAGUUAUUUUGCUACAGGAUACAUGGACAGAAAAACUUACCAGAAUGUAUUUUGUUUUUACAAAUGCAAUGAUCAGUCUGUGUGUUUGUUAUAUGAAAUGAAAGUUAUUUUAUUCUGUUUCACCCCAGCCCCCCUUUUCUAUGACUAUUAGAGAAGACUCGUGAAUGGAAAAUUAGGAGGAAAGGUAUUUUUUUUUUGGCUAAUAUGUAGCACACACUUUCCUUAAAAAGUCAACAAAUAUGUCAACGUAUGGUAUCUUAAAUGUUUAUAUGUGAUUAUAUAUUCAUUGGGUUAUAUUUCUUUUGAAAUAGUCAAAACAAAUAUUUUUCAGUUUGUAAUAUUCCCUUACAUUUCAAAAAACACACUUGAUUAAGUGAUUAACAUGCCAAAAUCUGAUUUCCUUAUAAAAAGGUUAGGCAUUCAAAUUAUCAUAAUUAUAAUUCUUUUAGUUUGGUUGGUUUUUCUUGGUUUGAGUGAAAAUGUCUUUAGGAAAGAACAGUUUUUUCCAGUUUUACUACUAAAUUAAAAUUAUACUUAUGAAUAUUGAGCAGUUUUAAAUUUUAUAUUAAACUGAAUAUCCCUUGAUUUUUUUUUUUUUAAUGCCUCCCUAAAUGGUUUCUAUCAAUUUGGUCUCAUUGAAUACCACUUGUAAAAAAUACAAACAAAUAAGUGGCAAUAAGGACUAAUCAGAUACCGUGUUAGGCACUAUGCUAAUCUAAAUUGAGAAUGCCUGACGGAAUAAGGUGUGAUAAAAUGCUUUCUAAAAUGUUCACUGAAGUUUUCUGUCUUUAACAUUAUUAAAGUUAUAAUAUUUGACUAAUAGCAAUAUAAUUUGACUAAUAGCAAAUAAGGAGCUUUGAUUGUCACUCAUGCAUGCCUAAUGCUAUUCUGUAUAAUUACAAUCUCUCAUUAGUUUGCUUGACUAAAAUUUCUUAAUGUAAAGCUUUUGUUGAUUAAAUAAAUUAAUGUCUUCAAACAUUUUGUCUAGGAUAGUCACCAUUAAUAAUUUGGCUUUCCAGGCGGUAUGUAAAAAAAUAAAAAUACCUUUGUGUUUGGAAAUUAAAUGUCAAGAAUGUUUGCUUUUCUUCAGUUUUCCAUGUUUAUUUUUUAAACUUUUAUCCUGAACUUUGCACUUAAAAAAAUUAUCACAAUAUUUAGUUCCUUUUUUUUUUUUUUGGAACCACUCCUUUUAUGUUCAUUUGCUCCCUGAUCGUCCUUAUCUCUCUCCUUUCUUUCCAAACCUGAGAAUCUUAUCAGCAUUGAUAUAUGAAUCCAUUCUUGAUUCACAAAGACAUGUUUGAAAGCAAUUGAGACAAUUAAAAAAUCAUCAGAAAGUAACUAGACACCUGGUUAAUAUCCCUUGAUGUGACCUCCCAAAUGACCACUAAAUUGUAGAAAUGGAGGAAAGUUCACUACAUUAUGGAAAACCAGAUUAAUGGCAAUCUGUUACUAGAUCUGGGAGGAAUGAGAAGAAGCUAAAAGGAUGAGAGAUAUCCUAGGUAUGUAAAACUGUCUGACAUAGGGAUAAUUCUUUUUUUUCCUUAAUGAAAAAAGUUAAUUUGAAAUUGCACACAAAGUAAUAAUCAGCGACGUAUGGAAAUGUCUGCACUAGAAAACACCUGUGCAUGCAAACUGCCAUAUUCCAGGAAGAAAAAAAUUCUUUACAUUGAGAUUCUUACAAGUCUAAAUCUAUAGAUAUGAUUUAAAAUUCAGAAUAGGGGCACCUGGGUGGCUCAGUUGGUUAAGUGGUUAAGUGUCUGACUCUUGAUUUCAGCCCAGGUCAUGAUCUCCUCAGUUUGCGAGUUCGAGCCCCGUAUAAGAGCCUGCUGGGGAUCCUCUCUCCUCUCUCUGCUGCUCGCUUGCGUGCGCUGUUGUGCGCUCUCUCUCUCUCUCUCUCUCUCUCUCUCUCUCAGAAGUAAACAUUAAAAAAAAAAUAAAAUUCAGGAUAAAAAGAAUCCCAUGAAUAUUGAGGCAGAGAAAAUAAGCUUCCAAAGAAGGAAUUGUUACAAGUUUAGUUUACGAUUGCAAGGAAGGGUUUUACCCUAUGUAAACUUAAGUAACAGGAAUUUGCUGAAAAUGAUAGAACAGUAAUAACAACUCUGCUAAUAAACUCAAAUAUACUAUUUGUAUUUUUUUUUGAAUCUAUGUCUUAUUCUGCUGCUCUUUCUGUUUUGUUCCUUUCCUUCCUCUCCUUUCCCUGUCUCCUUCAUCUGUCCACUCCUUUCUCUCAUUCCCUUUACUUCAAAGAAUAUAUUUAUCAUUUGCUUUAUUUCAAAUAACAUCAAAAAAAUAGUUAGAAAAUAAUCAGACAUGUUGUGAAGAUAGCUGUACAAAUUUAUUCAUCAUUGUACUCUUUAUAAUUACUAAAAGUUGAAAGUAAGUUGUCAACAGUAUGGAAUUGGUUAAAUAAAAAUGGUAUGUCCAUGCAUUGGAAUACUACAAAGCAUAGUGACGUGCUGGAAAUGCAUUCAUUGAUAAGAAAAGAUGGAGUGGAAAUAUGUAAAAGAUCUAUAAUGUGUUAUAUAAUAGUAUUUACCUUUGAGCAAAUAUGUAUUGCUAAGUACAUGGAAAAAGUGUUGCAAAUACAAGGAAAUCUUGACAAAUACAUUGAGAGGUAUGUUUCAUUGUCUUGUUUUGCAGAACUACAAUGUAAUGUCUAUAAGGUUGUUACACAAAUAUGUCAUUAAAGAUUCCAUAUGCUUUGUUUUUUUUAAAUAUUUAUUUCUGAGACAGAGAGAGACAGAGCAUAAGUGGGGGAGGGGCAGAGAGAGAGGGAGACACAGAAUCAGAAGCAGGUUCCAGGCUCUAAGCGGUCUGCACAGAGCCCGACGUGGGGCUCGAAUUCACAAACCAUGAGAUCAUGACCUGAGCCAAAGUCCUGACCUCAACUGACUGGGCCACCCAGGCACCCCAAGACUCCAUAUGCUUCUAAGGAACUUUUAUAUGAGGCAGAAAUACUUGUUUUCCUCCCCAAACCUGUGGAGUUUAAAUGUAGAGUUAGGAGGAAAAAGAAAAAAAAAAAAAAAGCCACAAAGGUAAGCAGUGGCCUUCAUAUUGAAGUAGAAAAUAAAACCAAGAAAAGAAGGUGGAAGUCCUCAAAGCUAGCCGAUUGAAUGAUAGUCACAUUUAUUUACUACCAAGUGUUCCUCAUAGCAAACACAGAGACAAUUUAAAUGUGUUUUUGGUAUUGCUUAGACGACACCUAAUUAUCAAUUAAAAAUUGUACUCUGGGCUUCAUCACUCAUUAGCUUGUGAUAAUAGGAAAGAACUUUUGUUUUUCAGGUAAUACCAUCAUGCUCUCAAAUGGAGGGAGAAUAACUGAUUUCAAUCAGACUUUGGACUAGGAAAUACUUAUAAUUUAUACCUCUAGUUAUCUAAAUAUCUUGUAAGAAUUAAAAAGUCUUUCUAAGAAAACACCAUUGGUUGCUAUAUGUCUUCCAAAAUACAAAGGAAGCCUUAGUUUUCACCUCAAAUAAAUCCUAAGCCAGGAAAAUUAUACAGGUUUUAAAAGCUCUUCUUUCCAUGAAUGUAUCUGUUGUGGCUUUCUCAACACAUUUAGAAAAGGUAUGAAACAUUGAAGAAUAGAGGUUUCUUGAGGUCUACUGAAAGUCCAUUAGUGUUAACUGGUUUAGACUUAGUCUUGCAGAUUCUUGGGUCUACAUCUUUUCUGGAGUUAGAUAUCAAGUUCUUUUCAAUUACAGUUGAUCUUUGGACAGGGUGGGAAUUGGGGGCAUUGACCCCUGAACAGUCAAAAAUCCUCGUGUAACUUCUGACUUUACUAAUACUUGACUAAUAGCUUACUGUUGGCUGGAAGCCUUACUGAUAAACAGUUGAUUAAUACUUAUUUUGUGUGUAAAAUGUACCAUAUACUGGAUUCUUACAAUAAAGUCAGUUAGAAAAAAGAAAAUGUUGAGAAAUUCAUCAGAGAAACAUUUAAAGUACUAUACUUACAUUUAUUGAAAAAAAUCUGCCUCUAGGAGGUCCAAGGGCCAUGGGGUGGGUCUGGCCACCUGGAGUUGGCAGUGUACCAGAACCUGGUGUCCUUGACUCAGCAGGGGCAGCCACUAGGCUGCUCUCAGGCAACAGUACUGGCCUGUAGGCUCACUACAGUGGCGGCAGCCCCAUCUGCCUGGAGGUCUAUCAUGAGCCUGUGAUCUUUGGUGGAUAAAGCCACACUUGAAUGUGCCCUCUGCAAGGUUGGGGGUGGGGGCAAGGCUGGCCAGCCUGGGAGGGGCCCCAAGGGUUCCAGGUAUUCUGAUACUACAGCCUUGCUAGGGUGCUGGGAGAAGAAGGGGUCCCCGCACAACUUCCACCUUGCCCUCUAGGUGCAUUCCUCUGCUUCAGCAUAGCCUCCUGUCCACCAGCCUUGGGUUAUUCAUUGUUGGUGCUGUCCUUAGAUUUCUGGAGAAUGCUUUCUUGGCUUCAUCAUCGACCUGAGUUUUGCCCAUUGAGAGAAUGAGAGAUUUGACUGGAAAAAGUGAGAGAAUGGAUUAGUUUUGGAACAUGGGACAUUACAGAACUGGGACAGGCCUGAAACGAGCUUCUUUACAUAACCUAAGGAUACCAUGAGGUUAUGAGUAAGAAAGAAUAGGUAGAAAGGUACAGAAUGAUGAAGUGGGAAAGUAUUAAAAACAAGUUGCUAUACUUUGCUGCGUGUAGGAACAAUGUAUAUAUUUAAAAUGUAUAAGCACUUGUUUGAAUUUGUUGGCCAUAGCUUGUUUUGUGUGUUUGGGAGUAAUGCUAAUUAUUAGCUAUUUUCUGUUACAAAAGCAAAUUAGUGGAUUUUGCCUCUGUAUGGCUAUUUGGGAUAACCUAAUGUUUUAUAUAUUAAAUUUUGUUAUUUUGAACUCUUGAUUUUACCACAGGGUUAAAGCCAAUAUAAAGAUUUUUUAAACCACAUUAAUAAACAUUUACUGGACACUUUCAAUGUGUCUUAUAAUUUUAUCAGAUUCUGUGGCUCCUAGAGAUCAUUUAUGGCCUCUGUCUUCAAGUAGCUUAUAGUGUUCUUGGGGGAAAUGGAUUGCAAUAAUAAUAUAUCUUACAAGUGAUAGGUGCUAUUGUAGACAUACAUGAAAUUGUUGGAAACCCAAAGGAAGAAUUGAUCAGUUCGAUCAGUUCUUUCCAAGGGUCGUGGUUGUGUGGGAGCAUGGAUCAGGUAUAGCUUUAUAAUGUAAUCUCCCUUAGAUCUCAGGCUUGGAAGAUCACUAGAUGACUAUACUGUGGAAGUCAUACAUGUUAUGAGUUAGUAUGGCUGUCCCUUGGGAAAUGCAGGAAGUUUGGAGUGAGCGUAAGGUGUAGUUUGAUAGAGUCGAUAAGGAGAGAAGGUCUGGACAAGACCACAGGGGCCAGAAGACCUUUUAUACUAUGCUAAGGAGUUUAGACUUUCUCUUAUAGACUGUAGAGUGCCAAGCAAAGGAGUGAAAUGAUGUUGCAGUUCAGAAAGAUCAUUGUUGACAUUAUGAAAAAUAAAUUGCUGGGGUUCAGAACUGUAGAGCAUAAGCCCAUUAUAUUAAUGGAUCUUGGUAUAGCCCAGAUUUGAAGAAACAGGGGCUUGAACUUGAGGCCUAUAUGGAGAGCUUCAAUCUCAACAAAUUAGCAGGAUUUAAUAACUGGGUGUGAGAAAUGAGGGAAAGGAAGGCAUUUAGGAUGAUUGAGGUUUCUAACGUGAUUUGGGCUCUUAGAUCCAUUUACCAAGAAAAUGACCACAUUUAAGAGACAGAAUUGAGGAAGAAUAUGGAUUCAGUUAUGGUUACAUUGAUUUUGAGAUACAUUUGGGACAUCUAAAUAAGGCUGCCUAGUUAACAGUUGUUAAUAACAAAACAAGAGCUAAGGAGAGAGCCAGCUGACCUGUGUAUAAAGGUUUAGGUGUUACUCAGUAUAUAGUUAGCUACUUAGGUCCUUUUGGAGAAAAGGAGAUGUGUAUUAAGGUGCCUAGUAAAUUUACUCUUUUUGUAUUCAAGAAACAUUUCUUAAGGACCUAUUCCAGAUUUUAGGCUAAGCCUGAGGAAGAGAAAGAUCUAAAGGAUGGCCUUUGCUGUUAAGGAACAAAUUGAAGGAAAUGGACGCACAAAAUGAUUUCAGUAAAAUAAGGUAGCUAUUGAUAGCGAUAACCAGAGAGGCUAUGGAGAUAGAGAAGUGGUGUAAUUAUUUUAGCCUGGAAAUGCAGGCGAAGACUUCUUAGAGAUGACAGAUGUUUAUUCUAGAAUGAAUUUAUGUUAGCCAGGAAAGAAGGGUGGGGAAAAGUAUUCUUGGGAAGGAGGAGUAUCAUAACUAAGGCAUGAGUAGCUGAAAAAAACAUUAAGUUUGGGAGAGAGUUACCUAGAAAAUGGGCCUUUUAAGAGUCUUAAGUGUGAGGCAAUAAUGGUAGGAGAUGAGGCUUGUGGGCAGUAUUAUAUAGGUGAUGGUGAGCAUGGACAGAAAACUGCUGGAAGUGACAUAAAAUACAUAACCAAAUUGGUCUUAAAAGGUACUUGCCAGGCAAAUUCAUGGUGGGGGUGGAAUUCCAGGCAGAGGAUGUAGUUUGA